CUGUCAAUCAGCCAGGUAACCUCAGCCAGCCAGCAAAAGCUUCAGGGUCUUCACCAGCAGUCACCAGCAGCCAAAAGCUCAAUCCAAAAGCUUCUCAAGCCCAGGUCAGAAUAAGUCCAGCCAUUGGCUUGGCUCCAACUGAUUUUCCUGGUAACAUUCAAAUGGAAUUGUCACUUGACUGACAGUUGAUAUCCUUUGCAUGCAUUGUAAAUUCUCUUUGACAGAACCAGUACACACUAUUGAUUCCAAGAAAGAAGGAUUGCCUCAGUGAAGGCCUGGCAUGGAUUAUGUCUUGGUAUAUGGAGAAAAAAAGGUCUAGUCAGGUCACGUGAUGCUCAUUUGCUAGGUAACAUUGGUGACCUCCUUGCUGUUUCACAAACAAGUCACUCCAUCUCUCCACACCUGGCAUUUUCUCUGGUUGUCCAAUGACCCCAAGUGGAGCCAUUGAGGGUCCUGAUAAGCUAUGAGUACCAUAACUGAGGCAGUCUUCCUGAUGAUGAAUGUCCUGAUGAAAAUAAUGAAUAUGGCAGAAACUCAAAAAAAUGUUGGACAUCUGAGUAAACAUGGUAUCAGUUUAGACACAGGACUCUUCCUCUCCUCACCUACCAAUAUAGAUUACCCCAAUGGCCAAAAAAAAAAAAAAAAUUCAUAUGAAUGAAGGGACUCUACAGUAGGGUGCAACAUUGAAGGUAUGUGGGAUUUGGGCAUUUCCACACUAUAAGGGGGUGAAAAAGCUUCCACCGAAACAUAAGCUGAUCUACCCUCCCCCACCUAACUUAUAGAACCAGACUCAGAGCCAGUGUGCACUAGAAGCAGUGAGUGAGCAAGAGGCACCUCUAGAGUGAGUUAUACAGCACAGAGAAGGGCAGCAAACAGUAGGAGCUGA
rnacentral:lncRNA from 1 species